ACUGCAUUUACCAGAAUGUGGUUUUUAUUUUUUAUUUUUUUUUAUUUUUUUAUUUUUAAAUUUUCAAUGUUAAAUGUUGUUUCUUCUUCUCUCUUGAUUAUAUUUGUAUCUAAAUUUUGCUGAAUCCAAUCUUAUUGGAUUAUAUGAGUUUAAUUUGAUUACUUUUUGUUAAAUAAUUCUCUUCUACACCAAAAUUUAAUCAAUUUCUGCACCCAUUUUAGCAGAACCAUGCAAUCAAGCUUUAAAGCAGCUUAUGGGUUUUUCAAUACCUCAACCAUUCAAAAGAAAGACACAUUGGUAUUUGGAGAACCAUCACUUCUACCAUAAAUUCAUAAAACAAACUACUCAUCCUAAUAAAUCAUACCGUCUCUUGAUCCUUUUAUGAUACAGUCGAAUCUGUGAGUACCUCCUUUCUAUUUUUAAAACAACUAAAAAGACAAAAAUGAAAACAAUUUUUUUAAAUUUACAUCUAUUGUAUUCGACUUGAGCAUGUGCAUAAUUUCAUAUUUUGCAUUAAGUCAUAUUACUAUAUACUUUUGUCAGUUUUAGUCGAGACCAGAUUUAGAAGCUCCUAACUUUGGGUAUCAGAACUAUCUCUGUGUAUUCUAGCUAUACAUCAGUAUGAUGAAUACUCUAUGUUUUACGUUCUUCCGUGAACAUCAAAAUUACAAAAUUUUAAAAUUUUUGUUUUAAGCUAAAUUGAGACACGGGCAUGUUUUUAAAAUGAUUUUGUGAUUGAAUGGAGAUGAUUUAAACAUCUGGUUUGGACUCCAACUCCCUGAAAAUGUUCAAAACACUGAAAACGAUGGCCGCAGGGUUUGGAAUCUGGAAGUUGUGGUGGGAGGGUCAGAAAUGAAGUUGUUAAGUUGUUAUAAAGCUAUUGGUACUCCAAAUAAUAUGUACGAAGCACAUACUUUUGCCUAGUAUUUUAACUAAUAUGGAAUGCAUAUUAAACCGCACCAUAUAUAUUUUAAAGUUGAAAAAAUUUUACAUCAUUUUUUCAACGACGUCCUUUAUUGGUGUAGCUAGCUAGCUAAUUCAUAUAUAUAUAUAUAUAUAUAUAUACAUGCAAAUGUGAUUGAUCGAUGCAGGCAAUUUUGUAUUAAUCACAGUGCUAAUUCCUACAUAUGCACACUGUGAGUAAUGCAGGUACGUAUACCAUAUACUGUCGGCAAGUUCAUGCUAAUUCCUAGCUAAUUAAUUCCUUUGUAACUUUAAAUUCAUUCCCAGCAGCUUGAAUUUGAGCUCCAUGAGAUGAUAAAAAUGAAAGGCAAUAAAGAGAACUAGUACAUACUUGGAAGAAAGAAGCAGAUUGUUGGAAAUUGGAAGUCUGUUUAAAGAACAAGAAUGUCUUCAAUUCUUCGGAGCCACCAUACAAAUUGGCGCUUGUCAGCGAAAUUUCGAAGCAAGCACUUGGAACGUUAAUAAUCAUGUCUGCAGGUUUACCAGAGGUGGCAGGGCUGACCAGAAUUUAUUUAUUUAUUUUUAUAAUCCACAUGUAAAAUUAUUUUAAAAAAAAAAAAAUGGCUGAAGAACUCAGAAGCGCUAGCAUUCAUCCAUAUUGAUCAGAUGUCGUAAGGGACACAACCAUAUCAAAGGGACACAACACUCCUCACGGCUCCAACCACAAUGCACCAGCCAGGAAUCUAACCAGGGCCUUUCUUUUACAAAAAGAGGGAAAUUAAUGGAGCUUGUUGAUCCAAAAUUGGGAAAUGUUUUCGACAAGGAAGAGGCAGUUAGAAUGCUUGAAGUAGCUCUUUUGUGCUUAAGUCCAUCACUGACACUUAGGCUUAUCAUGUCUGCAGAAUGGUGAACAUGCUUGAAGGUAGAAGCUGUAUUAAAUUGGAUAGAGAUUAUUGCAAAUUGUGAUCAACAGAAAGGUGGCGAUGAGGAAGCUUCGAUAUGAUCCGGAACGUCUAAAGUGCUGACGAAUUCCCACGUUGAAGAUGAAGAACCCAUGCCAACUGCACUGUUGGACAGCUCUCCGUUGUAAUAGUAUCUUGCUAAACCAACU